ACAGAGUCUGUCUUUGUUGGCCAGGCUGGAGUGCAGCGGUGCGAUCUCAGCUCACUGCAACCUCUACCUCCCGGGUUCAUGUGAUUCUCCUACUUCAGUCUCCUGGGGAGCUGGAAUUACGGAAUCAGAGGCACAGCUCAAAAUGCACAAUGAAAUCUGAGAAAGCACCAAGAGAGGAACGGUGGUUUUACCAGAUGCCGGAGCAAGCCGCAUCUGUUCUCCUUCAGCCUCAGGAGCUGGGACGUCGGGUCUGGACAGGUGGGGCUCUGCCACCACCAUGUGCAACUGGGCCCAGACUCUGCUCUGAAGGUGCUCACAGACACGUUCAUAGGAGAGACAGCAGCUGAACACUCGUAAAGAUCCCUCAGGGCAGCAUCAACUUAGAACCACGCAAGAGAGGCGAACAUUUCCUUGCGGCACCGAGGAGGGGGAAACUGCUCCAGUUUUGUUUCCUUUUUGAGGGGAAAAGGGGCAAUGGCGAAUUGAGAGAGACGAAGGAAGACUUCCCCGAGCAGAUGGAGGGAGGGGAGCCUCAGACCAGGCGCGGAUUCUUCCAGGAAGUGUAUUUUCCAGCUAUUAUAACGAUUAAAACCCAGAAUUGAAAUAAACGGGGGGGGCGGAGCAAGAUGGCCAAAUAGGAACAGCUCCAGUCUCCAACUCCCAGCGCUAGUGACACAGAAGACUGGUGAUUUCUGCAUUUUCAACUG